GAAGUCGUUACUCCAACCCUCUGGGAGGAGGACGCCGAAGGUGGGGCUGAUGACUGGGGUGAAGUCGUAACAAGGUAGCCGUACCGGAAGGUGCGGCUGGAUCACCUCCUAACGGGGAGAACCAACCUCAAAUGAUGAUCACCAUUUUUUAGUGAUCCAUUUGACUGUUCAUUCCUAAGGUCGAUCGGUACCUCAGUGAGUGAUAACCACUCAUCUCGGUCCUUAAGCUUGUCUAGGUCACCACCCCUUAGCUGAUAAGCUCUGUGGGAUGGGCCCGAGAGGGUUCCUGGGCCAUUAGCUCAGGUGGUUAGAGCGCACCCCUGAUAAGGGUGAGGUCCCUGGUUCAAGUCCAGGAUGGCCCAUCGGGAUUGGGGGUUUAGCUCAGCUGGUAGAGCGCCUGCUUUGCAAGCAGGAUGUCAGCGGUUCGAGUCCGCUAACCUCCAUUAGUCUUGAUAAUGGAACUGUGGCGCAGGGUGACUUAGAAGGAUGUUGGUGAUUCCAGCCUCGUUUGAUUCUUGUUUCAAGUUCAAACGAUGCUGGGCUCAGCAAUGGGUUCAGCAAGAACCUUGACAACUGCAUAGGUGAGUCUGGAAAU
rnacentral:misc_RNA from 1 species